AGACGUUUCUGUCAGUGUUUGCCUCAGGGCGCCGCGAUGGCGGGUCGGGAGCGGGAACUGAGGGGGGAAGGGGGUCGGGGGAAGCUCUGUGAGGUGAAAUCUUCUUCAGAAAGGAAAAAAAAAAGGUCUGGGAUUCCUGCGAUUUGCCCAUGCGUUGUGCGCCUAGGCACCAAAGCUGUAGAUUUGCUAAAGCAUCCUGGCAUAUUCUGGAUAACGUUUUUAGCCAGAAAGAAAUCUGAAACGUUACUUCUGAAAAGUGCAGUUCUCCACCUGAGGGCAGCUCCAGCAUUUCCGAAGUGAUCAUAAAGAGGCUCUGCACCAUCAGACAGAAGAGGCCUGGUUUACUCAGCUGCUCCCCUUCAGGAGCAGCUCCACACCUCUGAUCAUCCCUGCUGCUGCAAUUCUCAACGUUAUUCAGUUGCAAUGUGUCGAUCUGAGGAUGAAGGGGCUGGAACUACAAACAGUAUUCAAGAGUGAGAAUUUUUAUUGAUCCAGCGAGUCAAUGGCACAGCUGUUAGAUGACACCGUACUUAAACAAGGCCAGAGAGCAUCUCUCCGAUUCAAGAAGUGCACUUCAAAGCUGCUGCUAUUCAGGAAAGGAAUAUCAACGCACCUUCAGGAGCUAAGCUUGAGCAACACAAAAAAGUGUAAUCUUACCCUCAAAAGUGUCAACCAUUCUGAAAAAUGCAAGAGAGAAGGAGGAUUUUCCACUGCCUGUUCGGCCGCAGAUCCCGAUCUGUGACACAGAAAGAAGAUGAACAUCAGGUUCUGGAUUUGGAUCUCGCCUCUGUCUGGCCAGUUCUGGGGAAUCUGCGAGGAAGCUGUACCAGGAGCACAGAAGAACAAAUACAACCACCCUCUCGUGAUGAAUUCAUCAUCUCAUUAAGUAAUUUACUGAGUUAUUCAUGGUAAUAGACUGCAAAAUCAUUAGUAUUUCAGCAAGCUCUCUCUGCAUGCUGCACAAAACUGCACUUACAAAGGAGCCCUUCAUAAUUUUCAGCUUCUGUUUUGAGAAGGCCAUGGAUUCUUUUCACUGCACCCAGCUGGAUCUCCAUAUCAGCCAGGUUACGAACCAUCCAAUUCAGAUAGUUAGACACCUGAUGUAAAGCAAACAAACUCCUAAAUUCCAGGUUUUU